rnacentral:rRNA from 1 species
GACAGAGGAUGCAAGCGUUAUCCGGAAUGAUUGGGCGUAAAGCGUCUGUAGGUGGCUUUUUAAGUUCGCCGUCAAAUCCCAGGGCUCAACCCUGGACAGGUGGUGGAAACUACCAAGCUAGAGUACGGUAGGGGCAGAGGGAAUUUCCGGUGGAGCGAUGAAAUGCGUAGAGAUCGGAAGGAACACCCAAGGCGAAAGCACUCUGCUGGGCCGACACUGACACUGAGAGACGAAAGCUAGGGGAGCAAACCGG